rnacentral:lncRNA from 1 species
GAAAUGCAAGCCCAGCUCUGCGCCUUACCUGGCGCCUCCAGCCCUCCAGCAGCUUCGGCCCCGCUCUGAAAAGAUUGGCCAGCAGUUGCAUCCCUCGCACACACGGAGCCCUGAGCCCUGGGGUAACGCGGUUCCAAUUACUGCCAGAUCGGCAAGGCAUUUUGCAGAGGAAGAAACUGCAGUUUAAAGAGUGGCUGGCCUGUAGUCAUCAAGCCUGCAGACAGGAGAGGCAACACCCAGACUCAGAGAACAGGGUGUCUCUUUAUUAUACUACAGUGCAUCCUGCAGUUUUCAGAAAUGCUUUCGUUGUAUGAACUACAUGGUUCAGUUCCCAAAGGAAACCCAGGCCAAGCCUCACACCUCCAGGCAGCUGAUGAAGAGCAGACCUGUACUUGAGAAGCAGUUUUAACAGCACAGAGCGGAUGACAGGAGUCUGGUCAACAACAUCAUCAAAUGGAGACAGAGACUUUGUGUGUUCACGAUGUUCUGCAGCCAGAGAGAAGGGGACUAUAGUUCGUAUCAUGGUACAAAGCUGAGCCCAAACUCUGGUUUUGACCUUUACGGGAAGAAGGGAACUCACUCUGGGAAGCAUCUCUCAGCAGCUCCUUUUGUACGAAGAGCAAGGACAGCAGUGUAUCUAUGACACUCUUCUCAGGGGGCGUGUUAUCCUUGAAGCACAUGGUAGAAACAAGGUCCACAAAAAAGCUGUUGCACAUGUGCCGGAACUGGGCGUGCUUCUCAAUGGCUUUCCUUAGGAGGGAGGGAGAACUCGUGACAGAAGAAUUGUAGAAUGUGUUGCCCAAUACUUCCAGGCAGAGGGAAGGGAUAUUCGGAUAGUAUUUUGGUUUAAAUAUCAAGGUUUAUUUGACCUUGAACUCCACAAUUCUGUAUCAGCCUCCUAAUUGUUAGGUUUAAAACUAGGCUCUGUUUUUUUUUUGUUGUUGUUUUGUUUUGCAUUUUGAUUUUGAAUCAACAAAUGAGAUGGUCUUAACAAUGAUCAGAACUGGUCUUCAGACUACAACAGUGUUUCUGGGACACUACCAUUGUCUGGACCUAGAGCAUGGGCAAUAAAAUGGGAUGGAGUCAGGGCUGCUGAGGCCCUGCUCCUCUGUCUCCUGAAGACUGGGCCAGAUCUGCCUACAUCCUCAGGCAGAGACCAAGGCUGUGUUCAUAAAGAAGAGGAUCUGGGAGAUGGGCCCAUCAGUACUGCCCUUGCACCUGUAUCUCAGCAUGAGGGUGUGUAGGGACGAUGAGGCAGAUUCCUAGGCCUCACUGGCGGCUAAGCCAGGCAGAGACGAGCUGCAGGGUUACUGAGGUCCCUGUCCCAAAAUAGAGUGAUGAAGGAAGAUACCUGAUGUUGACGGUGGACACGUGAAUACACCCACAUGAACACAUACAUAUACAUACAAAGAAGGCAAUGAUGGGCAGGGGUUGGAUGAGUGGCAGGGUACAAGCUGAAUCUCAGUUCCACCUCCAGCACCACUCCAGCCCUCCCCACUAAAAGGCGCCAAGCUACACCGACAUGUUCGGUUUUCUUCCAAGGACUUUGUGACUUUCUAGCUUAUCUCCUAAGUUUGCUGUCUCCAUGUUGGUGCUUGUCUUAUUUGGGAAAGGGCAGAGGUCCAGGAAGCCUUGCUUCUGGCAUUACUUAUGGAAGUUCUCUGAAACCAGCUCUUACGCCCAAAGAACGCUGACCCAAGAGUUGACAUCUCCAAAGACAACAUUGGAAAAAAAAGCAAGGCAGCUUCCUCAAGAGAGAGGGUGACUUACCUGUGGUCCUGGGAAACAGUUGGUGAGAACUUGUCUGGCAAGUCAGUUAAGCAGUAGGGGCACAUCAUUUGCCCAGGGAUGAGCCAGGUCUGAAUGCAACGUAGACAAUACACAUGAUCACAGGGCAGACAGACGGGGUCCUGCGCAUCUCCAUGGCAGAUGAAACAUGGCUGAAUACCAAACCUAAAACCCAAGAAAGUGAUCGAUUUCAGAGCAGAAAUGCUGGCUACAAGAAACAGUUCCUUCCACCGCAAAUCCAAGUAAUCUCAAAGUCUUAAAUUACACAUCUCACCUGCUGAACUUCUUGCUGGCCUUGUCCUUGCAGUCACAGAGUGUGGUCAUUACAGCCACAAAUGGCCUGCAGGUCUUGAGGUUAGAGUCCUCUUCAAGACACUGAGGGAGGAGGGCAGUGGUGAGUAGUAGGUAAGGGUCUAUAGGGAAAGUGACCCAGCACCCAUUGUCUCAGUGGCUGCUGACGAACAGUCAUGGCCACAAAAGAGCAGCACAAGGCUCUUGGGAUGCUUGCCAUAGGAAGUUCCCACAUUUUCAGGAGACAGAGCAGUUAAGACCACUGGCUGCUGUUCCAGAGGAUCCUGGUUUGAUACCCAUUACCCACAUGGCAGCUCACAGGGGAUCUGAUACUCUGGCCUCCCUGGAUGCCAGACACACAUGCAGGCAAAACACUAAAGCAAGUUCCAGGACAGCCUGACUUAAAUAGUGAGCUCCAGGAUAGCCAGAGCUACAUAGUGAGACCUUACCUCAACAACAACAACAACAACAAACUAACAACAAUAAAAACCAAGAAGAAAGUUCCUACAUUUACAUGUCCUUUAAAAACAAACUUUUAGCCGGGCAGUGGUGGGGCACGCCUUUAAUCCCAGUACUUGGGAGGCAGAGGUAGGCGGAUUUCUGAGUUUGAGGCCAGCCUGGUCUACAAAGUGAGUGCCAGGACAGCCAGGGCUACACAGAGAAACCCUGUCUCGAAAAAACCAAAAACCAAAACAAACAAACUUUUAAGUAGCUGCAGUGAAUAAAUAAAUUAAUGCAAUAAAAUAAUUGAAAAAAUAAAACAUUUUAAAUUAA